GAGACUGUUUCAUUCAGAUUGCAAAUACAUGGAUGGUUGAAUUGAGGUUCUGUUUUACUGAUUUUGGUAAUAUUAAUAAUAGGUACUGUCAUUUACUUAUUUGAAUAUCUUCAAAGGACAAUUAUAAAUAUAAAUUAUAUUUAUAAAGUAAGAGAGAUGAUAUUAGUUGCAAGUCAUUUUAUCAAAAUAAAUUUAAAAAUUCAAAACUCAAAAGUAGUAUGGAAAAAUUGAGAUCCCGAGAGGAUGAUCAGUCACAUUGGGACUGAGACAUGGCCCAGACUCCUACGGGAGGCAGCAGUGGGGAAUUUUCUGCAAUAGGCAAAAGCCUGACUGAGCAAUGCCGCAUGGACAUAGAAGGUCCACGGGUCGUGAACUUCUUUUCCCGAAGAAGAAGCAAUGACGGUAUCUGGGGAAUAAGCAUCGGUUUACUCUGUGCCAGUAGAAUCG
rfam:Gossypium hirsutum cultivar TM-1 unplaced genomic scaffold scaffold4196.1, whole genome shotgun sequence